rnacentral:rRNA from 1 species
AUUGAACGCUGGCGGCAGGCCUAACACAUGCAAGUCGAACGAGUGGCGGACGGGUGAGUAAUGUCUGUGAACCUGCCUGCUGGAGGGGGAUAACUACUGGAACCGGUAGCUAUUACCGCAUACCAUGAGAUUUGCCCAUCUGGGUUUGGCCAGUUGGUGGGGGACCGGCUCACCAAGGCGACGAACCCUAGCUGGUCUGAGAGGAUGACCGGCCACACGGGAAAUGAGACACGGUCCAGACUCCUAAGGGAGGCAGCAGUGGGGAAUAUUGCACAAUGGGCGAAAGCCUGAUGCAGCCAUGCCGCGUGUAUGAAGAAGGCCUUCGGGUUGUAAAGUACUUUCAGCGGGGAGGCGUUACCCGCAGAAGAAGCACCGGCUAACUCCGUGCCAGCAGCCGCGGUAAUAC